GUUGUUUUCUUCUUCUGAGGACGGGAAAGUUACAGCCAGGGCUUCCUGUCUGCGACUGCCUUCAUGUUGGUGAUUUGUGUUAAAUUGACAACAUAUAGUAUGGUCCUUCUUUGGGGGGCAGAAUUGGCAUCUCCUCCUCUUGCCUGCCCCAGCUACAGCCUCAGGUGGAUCAGGACAAGAUUCAUCCCCCUGAACAGCUUUCACAAGCGCUGAAGAGGCUGCUGUGCGGGGGAGGUGUUCCCUUCUUUGAAUGUGUGGGGUUACAAGUGGCUUUCCCAGCUGCUCCAGGAACACCCUCCUCUUGUUCCACUUAUCAGGCAUCCAGUCCAGGAUGAUGGCUGGCUUUCCGGUCCUCACGAUCACUGAUCUCAGCCAUUUUGUGCAGUGUGCUCAGGAGGACCACAUUCUUGUUCCUCUUUGGGAGGCAGGUUUUCUGUUGGUGAAAUUCCUGAUGAUUUGAGGCGUUCCAAGCGUGCGCUGGGUGCUGAUGUUCCCGACGGAACAUUGGAGUGCAGGCUGGCAACCGCAGAGGAUUCUGGGUAAUAAAGCUGCAGAUGAGUGUGUGCGUGCAUGCGCAUGUCUGAGUGUGUGCGUGCAUGCGCAUGUCUGAGUGUGUGUGUGCACGCGCAUGUGUGAGUUAGAGUAUCCUCAGUCACAGCUGUUCCUUGUCUCUCCUCUGUCUAAUGUGAUCUUACUGACAGACCUUCUCCUCAGUGCAGAUGUCUACUGCCGACAGGCCAGUGCCUGUGGGUGUAGCUCAGUUGUGGCUGGAGGUUACCCAGGUUAGAGUGCCCUCUGGCUAGGCUAACCUAUUUCUCCUUUCCCGGCCAGGAUAAUGGAUUGGUGUGGAUGGAGGUCAGGAGGGGAAGUUUUCCCUGUUUUCUCUUCUCCUCCUCUAUAACUGAACCUACAGUUAGUCUGUCUGGACAUUCAUCUCUGGAAGCUUCCCUUUUCCCCUAACGUAAACAACAUGGGGCACCAGAAGUCUUUCAAUGGAUAAGAUGGUCACAGUCUGGAGUUCAUUCGAAUCCGCCAAUGCUACGUUUACACAGUAAUGUACUGCUGCCUGCAAACACGCUUCUAUUCGAUGGACUAUUUAUUCCUUUGAGUGACCAAGUCACUCACUUUACUAUAUAUUUGUAAAUACAGUGUAUUAAAGUCCAUUAUUAAUACAUACUACCUCUCUUAUUACUUCUAGUACUUGUUAAUUUUGACUACACUCUUUUUAUUGUUAUUGACUAAUGUACUGCACUUCUUGUACCUGCAGUAAACUGUAUAUGUGACAAAUAAAAUUUGAUUUGAUUUCUUGUUCCCG
rnacentral:lncRNA from 1 species